UACAGAGGGUGCAAGCGUUAAUCGGAAUUACUGGGCGUAAAGCGUGCGUAGACGGUUAGAUAAGUCGGAUGUGAAAGCCCCGGGCUCAACCUGGGAAUUGCAUUCGAGACUGCCUAGCUAGGAUGCGGAAGAGGGAAGCGGAAUUUCCGGUGUAGCGGUGAAAUGCGUAGAUAUCGGAAGGAACACCAGUGGCGAAAGCGGCUCCUGGUCCAGCAUCGACGUCAGGCACGAAAGCGUGGGGAGCAAACAGG
rnacentral:rRNA from 1 species